rnacentral:rRNA from 1 species
GACGAAGGGGGCUAGCGUUGUUCGGAAUUACUGGGCGUAAAGGGCGCGUAGGCGGCGUGUCAAGUCAGGCGUGAAAGCCCCCGGGCUCAACCUGGGAACCGCGCUUGAGACUGGCAUGCUCGAGUUCGGGAGAGGAUGGUGGAAUUCCCAGUGUAGAGGUGAAAUUCGUAGAUAUUGGGAAGAACACCGAUGGCGAAGGCAGCCAUCUGGACCGACACUGACGCUGAGGCGCGAAAGCGUGGGGAGCAAACAGG